rnacentral:tRNA from 1 species
UUAGUUCAGUUGGUAGAACAUUGGUCUCCAAAACCAAAUGUCGUGGGUUCAAGUCCUACA